rnacentral:rRNA from 1 species
GAUGAACGCUGGCGGCGUGCUUAACACAUGCAAGUCGAACGAAGCAUUUGCGACAGAUUUUUUCGGAAUGAAGUUGCUUAUGACUGAGUGGCGGACGGGUGAGUAACGCGUGGGUAACCUGCCUUGUACUGGGGGAUAGCAGCUGGAAACGGCUGGUAAUACCGCAUAAGCGCACAAUGUUGCAUGACAUGGUGUGAAAAACUCCGGUGGCAUAAGAUGGACCCGCGUCUGAUUAGCUAGUUGGUGAGAUAACAGCCCACCAAGGCGACGAUCAGUAGCCGACCUGGGAGGGUGACCGGCCACAUUGGGACUGAGACACGGCCCAGACUCCUACGGGAGGCAGCAGUGGGGAAUAUUGCACAAUGGAGGAAACUCUGAUGCAGCGACGCCGCGGGAGUGAAGAAGUGAUUCGUUAUGUAAAGCUCUAUCAGCAGGGAAGAUAGUGACGGUACCUGACUAAGAAGCACCGGCUAAAUACGUG